AAAAAGGUAGGGUUGGCUAUUCCAAUUUCAUCUUCAAUUUGACAAAUUUCUUGGUAUGUUUUAUGCUUAAUUUUUUUAGGGUUGCAAUUUAUUGGUUUAAUUUCCAGAUUGAAGGAAAGGAUAUGUUUGCAAGCCAAUAUUUUGAAUUGAAAAGGCUACUUAUACUAAGGUAUGAAAUACCAAUUUUGGAAAAAAAUCUUGAAUUUUUAUUUGGGUUUUUGAAUGAAUAUAGUUAUCACGAAUAAUUGUAGAGAUGAAAUACUCAUUUGAAGGCAUGAAUUUAUGGAGCAAGAUGGAAAAUUAAAUUGAUUAAAUUAUAAUUAUUAGUUUUACUAGUUUGGAAGAAGGAAUUAUUUUUAUGUUUGGAGUGAAGAUUAUUUUGAUGAAUUAGAUUUUAAUGAAAGGACUAGAAGGUAGAAUUAGUUCCAAAUAUGAAGGAAAUUAAAGAAUAUAUCCAAGUGUCGAGAAGUCGUGUAUUUCGUAGUUAAAAGUUAAGAAUACUUGGUAGGGUGGUUGUUAAAUUGGUUAUCUUAUAUCAUAUUUUAGGAGAUGACGAGAAGAUUGAAAUCAUGACCUGUCCAUAACUUGAUAGUAGCAGAGUUGAGUAGUCUUGGAGCCUGUCAAUUCACCUAAUUGAGCCACACAUCAAUAGUUGUAUAGCCUACUUUAUCAGAUUAUUAUUUGAUAUCUUUAGUACGUUUGGGGACCUUUGGUUGUAGAGUAAAGUUAUUAUCGAUUUGCUAGUAUUCUAUUUGAAUA